rnacentral:tRNA from 1 species
GUUAAUGUAGCUUAAUACCAAAGCAAGGCACUGAAAAUGCCUAGAUGWGUUUUUCCUACUCCAUAAACA